AGUUUGCUAACGCGUGAAGGCGAGCACUCUAGACGAACUGCCGUUGACAAACGAGGAAGGUGGGAUGACGUCAAAUCAUCAUGCCCCUUAUGUUCUGGGCUACACACGUGCUACAAUGGCCGGUACAGACGGACGCAAAGCCGCGAGGUGGAGCUAAAAUCCUAAAAAGCCGGUCUCAGUUCGGAUUGCAGGCUGCAAUUCGCCUGCAUGAAGUCGGAAUCGCUAGUAAUCGCAGGUCAGCAUACUGCGGUGAAUACGUUCCCGGGCCUU
rnacentral:rRNA from 1 species